UGCAGCUGCAGCCGACAGCCACGCGCUAUUUGUAUUGGCAUAGCAUAGCAGGUGCAGACGUGCCAGCUCCCCGAAAAAUUCGAGCCGAGCCUGACAAAGCCAAUGGAUGGAAUUUGCAGCAGCAGAAAGCGAAAGUGCAGCUGCUGGUCCCCGCGGCAUGUCAGAUCCGAUCCCCAAGGGGGCUCUGCAUUUGUAUUUGGUUGGGAAAACACGUAGCUUGUCGCCGGGAGCGGGUGGCAAAAGCCAAACGGAAAACGGAAUGAGAAUGGAAAAUGGCAAAGGAAGUGGAAGUGGAAAAGAAGCUGCGGUUUAAUGUCGGCGGCAAGUGCUGUGGCAGCAGGAUUGUCUGCGGUUCUGGCCACCGAAAGUGCCGCGCAGCACAAACAAGGAAGGAGGCUUCCCGUGGAACCUGCCACCUCUUUUUUGGCAGGCACAUUGCCAGCGAAAGUCUGUCCCUGUCUGUACGCACCAUAAACAUGCAUAUGAAUGAAUCCCUAAAGGCUUGGCAAGUUAACCAUAUUUAAAAGAAAAGAAAA